UACGUAGGGACCGAGCGUUGUCCGGAUUCAUUGGGCGUAAAGAGCUCGUAGGCGGCCACUCAAGUCGAAUGUGAAACCUCGAGGCUUAACCUCGAGCCUGCAUUCAAUACUGGGCGGCUAGAGUCUGGUAGGGGGAUCUGGAAUUCCUGGUGUAGCGGUGGAAUGCGCAGAUAUCAGGAGGAACACCGGUGGCGAAGGCGGGAUCCUGGGCCAGUACUGACGCUGAGGAGCGAAAGCGUGGGGAGCAAACAGG
rnacentral:rRNA from 1 species